CCUACGGGAGGCAGCAGUGGGGAAUAUUGGACAAUGGGGGCAACCCUGAUCCAGCCAUGCCGCGUGUGUGAAGAAGGCCCUCGGGUUGUAAAGCACUUUCAGUGAGGAAGAACGCCUGGUGGUUAAUACCCAUCAGGAAAGACAUCACUCACAGAAGAAGCACCGGCUAACUCCGUGCCAGCAGCCGCGGUAAUACGGAGGGUGCGAGCGUUAAUCGGAAUUACUGGGCGUAAAGCGCGCGUAGGUGGCUUGAUAAGCCGGUUGUGAAAGCCCCGGGCUCAACCUGCGAACGGCAUCCGGAACUGUCAAGCUAGAGUGCAGGAGAGGAAGGUAGAAUUCCCGGUGUAGCGGUGAAAUGCGUAGAGAUCGGGAGGAAUACCAGUGGCGAAGGCGGCCUUCUGGACUGACACUGACACUGAGGUGCGAAAGCGUGGGUAGCAAACAGGAUUAGAUACCCUUGUAGUC
rnacentral:rRNA from 1 species